rnacentral:lncRNA from 1 species
ACUAUCACUUUUAUAAGCUUCUCUUUGGUUCUGGCGUUCAUAUAAAUAAAAGAGACAAACAUGUAUGAUUUACAACUCUAGAUUAACCAACCCAACUGAUUCAACAUGUUUAGUCCUUUAAUCCUUGUUCUUAGUACUAUCUCCAUGAUCCCACACUCCUAAUCAUAUGAGCUAAAAUGUUACACAUUCAAUCAUUGAGAGAUAUAAAUAAAAAGACAUAUACUUAAAUAGAUUAUCUUUCCAUAAGGUUGAGCGAUCUGAUCUGACAAAUGUUAUAAGUGCUACACUCAUGAACUUAUCAUCCAUCAACUUUGUCUUGCUCACUAUACUUAAGGUUAGAGAAGAACAAAUACACUUUUGGUUCUGUUGGUGUUUUCCACCAACAGGGCCCAUGCACUUGAUCUCUGCCUUGUCUCUAUGAGCAGGUACACUACGAGCACAAACACACUGAGCAAGAUACUGCUAACACCGCACUUCGAACUGCUGGGCAAACGAAGAACAUGGGUGACACAGUAUUAAAAGGUGCAGACGUCAAGGUUUGCACCUAAAUCAAAUGACGCACCUGAAGAAUGAACACGGUGAGAAGUCUUGUCAAGAAGACUUAAAACAUUGAACCCUCGCCGAAAGGUAAGAUUGGUAGUUAUCCAUAUUUAUUCUUUCUGCAUUCCCUUUUCCCUUUAAUUAUUUACUUUCCUUAAAUAGAUUUUUAGUUAAUCAUGCUAUCUUGAAAAGAAAAUAAAAAUGUUAAAAAAUACUAAGCCCCAUGUGAGUAUACGAGUGGCAUAAAACCCAUAAGUACCUUCACUGUGGUGGCAUAAAAAUAAAAUAAAUAUUUCUUUUCUACUUUAUAAAAUAAAAAUAUAAAAACAGGGAGUAAUAUUUAUUGAGGAAGCUCAACGUGAUGAAGGCUAGAUAUUUAUGCUAACACUUAAUUAGUUCCACAAGCUUUGUUGUCUAUUUGAGCUCCACAGAAUUUAAGAAUCAAGAAGACUAGCAGACGGAGGACAUUCUAAUUGCUGUCAGAAUGCUGCUGACUUUCAAAUACACCUCUGCCACCUGCUAGCUACAUCAAGAGAAAUUAUGUCAAAAUUCAGCUUGUAGGAGAGCACCCCUAUUUAUCUCGCUAAGUAUUUCUACCUAUCUUUAUACUUAUAUUAUAUUAGAAUAAUAAAAUACAUAAACUAUGAAAAACCAAAUAAAGAUUUUAUGCUUAUAUAUAUAUAUAUAUCUUUUCUUAGUUUGCUAAAUAAAUAAAUAAAUAAAUAAAUAAAUAAAUAAAGUUUGCUAUAAAUCUUAAUAAUAAAACUCUCGCAUGGAUAUGAUGAAUAGUUGCUCUGCCUAAUUUGCAAAUUUAAAGUUCUCUCUCAAGUUUAGACAUAACUGUUAUAAUAUAAAGCUUGCUCUAGAUCUAAACUUGUGGGAUGAAAACUUGAUCUGAAAUCUAAGUUGUUAACGGAUAAGAUAUGGGAAGGUUGAGCUGCUGUUUAUCUGUUCCUAGAGAUGCUAGAAUUCUGGAGAAUUUUAUCUUUGAAAAUCUUUAAAAUGUUGCAUGAUGAGUUCCUGUAUGAUGAGAGUUUAAAUUCCUACCACAGCCAUAUAUACAUGCUUGCUAGACUUUGAGCAACACAUUUAUUAUUUACUGCUUAUGAGCAUUGAGUGAGGUCAAGCUGUGUAGACCCUUAGGAGCUUGUCAUGUGGUUAAAUCAAGAUUCACUUGCACAUUCACUCAUAUAUGCUACUUCUACUCUGGAAGUACCAUCCACAUAUAUCCAUCCAUGUCCAUCUCCAGAACCACCCAAAAAUAUUCUACUCCUAAUCCGGGAGAGAAUAGCCAAAAAUAUUUCUAUUUUGCCUUGUGAAAUAAAUGCUCAAGUUAUCUUGCUACUACCACUUGCUAUAUUAUCUCAAGAGAUGAGUGCUCUGAAAAAAAAGAGAGAGAAGAAAAAAAAAUAAACGAGGAAAUAAAAAGGGGCAAGUGCCCGGAACCUCGAAAGAAAGAAAAAGUGAGACGAGAGGUAAAAAUGGACAAGUGUCCGACAGUAGAAUUAGGGGUACAAGAUACCCACCUGAGAGGAAAGAAAAAGAAGAGCAUCUCAUUCUCCUCAUAAAGUUUCAAAAAGCAAGGAAGGUAUGUAUCGCCUCAAAAGAGCAAAGGUAGAAUUAGACUUUCACCAUUGUUAUCACCAUCAUCACCAUACACCAUUCAUUCGCCACACAUGCACAUCUUGAUUUGGCUUAUUGAUUUGUUUCUCUGGAUCCAUGGUUUGACUACACAAUAAAUGUCUUGUGAGUAUGUAUACUUUAUCUCCCACCUAUAAGCUCCAGAUAUUAAAGCCUUAUUAGAGUAGGGUGAGAGAGAAGGCAAUGUCACUAUGCCUUAUACCACAAAUACCACAUAUCUUGAGAGAAGGCAUAUACCAUCACUACCUUGGUAAGGAUCCAGAAAUACCACAAAAGAGAGAUUUAGAGAGUCAUACAAGGAAUCUCUGAGUUUUAUUUGAAAAUCUGCAAAAACUCCAGAGCUAUAGCUGAUCAAGAAUAAGAGACAUGGCACUUGGCUAGACUGUUCUAUCUUUUAACUACUCAAGCCAGAAGUGACGGUUACAAGUCCCAUGGUGAAAGGUAAAGUAAGUAAGUUUUAGUUCUUGACAGUUUACUCUAACUCAGAGAUGAGAACUUAUUUAAAAAGCAUGUGUACCAUCAAAUUUUUAAGAUAUUGCAACAACUUCUGAUCCAUUGCUGAGUCUAUCCUUGCUCAGGGACGAGCAAGAGGUAAGCUUGGGGGAGUUUGUUGACGGUCCUUAAGUAUCAAAUUUAAUUACCAAAUAAACAAAGAAAAGGAUCCAAAUGAAAUCAACAUCAAGACUAAGGGUUUUAUCUGACAGAAUUCCACGAGUUUUGGUGUUUGUCUAUUUCUGCAGGGGGUUAUCAGGAAAUAAGGAAGAAAGGCCCACACGUCGGGAUUACAUAGAGAUAUCAACGUGCCGCAAUUAUCUUACAUCUAGAAGACUCCAGAAGCCACGGGAAGGAAGCGGAGACCGAACGGAGUCAGGGACAGGGCGCCCGCCCAAGUCCUUAGGGCGCCCGCCCACCUUUUUCGGCCAAUCACGCUCAAUCUCGCGGAUUAUGCUCCACCGACCUAAAGGAUCAAGAAUAACCGUUCAAUCAAUGUCGGUUUGAUCCGACGGCCCACGUUCACUUGAGGGGACUAUAAAACCAGACCCCCUGGCCCCUAGAGGAGGCAACCCCUUGAUCAUUAUUCAUUAUUCAUAGACAUAGGAAAAGCUAGGGUUUAGAGAUGAGAGCUCUCCUCUCUUCUCUAAACUAGAGUAGAUCUAGAUAGUAGCGAGAUGGAGAGCGAAGGAGGAUUAGAGGAGAGGCCGGCCUGUCGGUUCUUCCUCCGGUUGUACUUCGCCAUGAUCAAGCUCUAAUCAAGCUUGCUCAUGGGAUGACUCUGGUAAUCUACUUCUAAUUCAUUAUGCAAUUACUAAUCAUGUAUGUUCUGGUUCACAACUCUUUUGAGUACUUCUAAUCUAUAGGACCCUAUAGGUUAGAGUUGUAGUAUAGGUGUAAGCGUGGUGCUUACACCUAGAUUACUUGUGGAUAUCCCCUGACUAGCUAGAUCGUGUGGUAGGCCGCGUAGGUGACAGUUACGUUGGUCCCCUGUAGUCCACCUCUCGUUAGCAGGACGGGUAGGGUUUAUCGGCCUAUGGAUAAGCAUCCUUUGUGGUGUACUCUUGUCACGUGGUUCGUCCCAGACAUAGACAUACCUCUUUGAAGUAGAGAAACCAUAGUUAUCCUCUCUAUUCUGCUACCAUCGCCCAUAUACUAGAAUUGCUCUAUUCUCUAUUCCCAUAUUAUCACUCACUGUUAUCUUACCUUUAAUAUUGUUCUUAUUCGAUUCUAUCAUCUUUCCUAUUUACACCUAUCUAUCUAUCUUGGUUAAGUUAGAGCGUAGUUGGUUCUCUCGUUUCCCUGUGGAUACGAUAAAACCUUUAACCGGGUAAAAGCUUCAACGGUAUCCGUGCGCUUGCGGAUUAUCUGUGUGCGUAUAAAUACUAUAGUACACUCUAGUGCCAUGCUGGGGAUGACAACCUAGUAUUCAAGUGGUGUUAGCAAGUGUCAACACAGCUCAACCUUCCCAUAUCAUAUCCGUUAACAACUUAGACUUCAGAUCAAGUUUUCAUCCCACAAGUUUAGGUCUAGAGCAAGCUUUAAAUUAUAACAGUUAUAUCUAAACUUGAGAGAGAACUUAAAAUGUGCAAAUUAGGCAGAGCAACUAUUCAUCAUAUCCAUGCUAGAGUUUUAUUGUUAAGAUACAGAUUAGCAUAGCCACUUUAUUUAUUUAUUAAACACACUAAGCAAAAGAUAUAUAUAUAAGCACAAACUCUUUAUUUGGUUUUUCAUAGUUAUGUAUAUUUAUAUUCUAAAAUAAUAUAAGUAUAAAGAUAGAUAGAUAGAAAUACUUAUCGAGAUAAAUGGGGGUGCUCUCCCCCAAGCUGAAUUUUGACGUAAUUUCUCUUGAUGUAGCUAGCAGGUGGCAGAGGUGUAUUUGAAAGUCAGCAGCAUUCUGACAGCGAUUAGAAUGUCCUCCGUCUGCCAGUCUUCUUGAUUCUUAAAUUCUGUGGAGUUCAAAUAGACAACAAAGCUUGUGGAACUGGUUAAGUGUUAGCAUAAAUAUCUAGCCUUGAUCAUGUUGAGACUCCUUAAUAAUUAUUACUCCCUGUUUUUAUAUUUUCAUUUUAUAAAGCAGAAAAAUAUUUAUUUUAUUUUUAUGCCACCACAGUGAAUGUACUUAUGGGUUUUAUGCCACUCGUAUACUCACAUGGGGCUUACUGUUUUUUCACAUUUUUAUUUUCUUUUUAGGAUAGCAUGAACAUGAUUAACUAAAUAAACUAUUUGAAAUAAUUGAAAGGGAAAGGAUAACUACCAAGUUUACCUCUUGGCAAGGCGUUCGGUGUUUUUAAGUCCUCCGAACGGGACUCUCCAUUUUCUCAAUUGUCCUGAGGUUCGUUGGGUGGCGUAGUCGGUACUUCCGGCAGCGCCUUCUCUUCAUGUAUAGUUAUCUUCAUUUUCCACACCUGACUUGGUGCUUCCGUCUCCUCUGGAUAAUUCUGUUGAAACUCUAUGUCUUCUGACCUUACAACUUUUCCUUCAUAGUCUGCCCAUCCAUCCUUGAUGAUUUGCCUCCUUUGGUUGCGGUUGCGUCGCUUUCUUACCUGCUUAGAUUCUUCAAUGAUAUAGUUAGGGUCAGUAAAAUAACAGCGUACCUUCUCUGAGGGGAAGUGCAUAUGGACUUCUCCAGUUCCAAUGUAGAUAAUUGCUUUAACGGUGCUGAGGAAUGGUCUUCCAAGGACGAUGGGUGGAUCAUACUCGUCUUCUCCCAUGUCAAUAACUUGAAAGUCUGUGUAGACAAAGUGAUUGUCUAUUUUGACUGGGACAUAAGUUACUAUUCCUUUAACUUCUCGAAACGUCUGAUCUGCCAUCUGGAGCUGAAUGUAUGUUGGUCUUAGUGGCAUGGUUCCGAACAAGAGCCAACAGGUGACUGCGGCCAUUAUGUUGACGCCCGAUCCGGUGUCACAAGUUGCCUUGUAGAAGUUGUAUCCAUUUAUGGAGCAGUAGAUGCUUGGCAUUCCUAGGUCGUCCUUCUUGGUCAAAAGCGGUGAUUUAAGUUGGCGAUCUUGGCCUCCAUGAACUGCAGUGACCAUCUUAGCUGACUCGGUCCACACUUGCUUGUUCCUGUUCCUCCUGUUGGUCCUCUUCCUUGAUUCACGUCUGGAUUGAUCUGGAAUUUGUGUAGUCUUGUUCUUGAAGAAAAAUGUCUCCUUCCUCCCUUUGACGUAGAAACUGAUCUUGGCAGCACUUGUGUAGAUGAUAGCUCCCGUGGUGUUUAAGAAUGGCCUCCCUAAGAUGAUGGGUGCCCUCUCAUCAUUUCCGGUCUCUACCACUACGAAGUCUGCUAGAGCAUAUAAGGAACCAACUCGGACACAAAGGUUCUUCAAUAUUCCUUUUGGAAAAGUUAUCGUCUGAUCUGCAAACUGCAAACACAUGGUUGUCUCUAAUAAAGGAUAUGUAAAGAAUUUUUCAUAGAGUACCUUGGGUAUAAUGUUGACGCUGGAGCCAAAGUCACAGAGUGCUUCUGGAACGUCCACCAUGCCGAUGGAGAUCGGGAUGACGGGGCGUCCUGGAUCGCCUCUCUUGACCGGCAGAAGGUCAGUAGAGAAUUCAGUGACGGGGUUACUCCAAUUAUUACCUGCAUCAAACAUGUCUACAAGAUUUGCAGAUUCUAAUCCUUCCAGUUGUGAUGGUAUACCAGGGUUAGUAGCAGGAACAGCAGCAGCUAUUUGAUUUAACUGAGAUUCAAUCAUUUUAUUAAAGCUAAUUUGAUUCUUGAUGGCAGUAGAGAAAUUAUCCAUUCUAUUAUUUAUAUUUUCUAGCAUUUUAUCAUUAGAUGCCAAUUUCUUAGAUAGGUUAUCCAUUAGCUUUCCUUGAUUAGACACUAACUCUCUCAAAGGUGCAAAAUUAUUAUUAUUGUUGUAAGAAUUGUUACAUCAUCAACACUUCACGAAGAAGCUUCAUCCAAUCAAGAAGAUCACCGAAACUUGUCUUCAGAGUUCGAAGCCAUGGCGAACAAAUCAAUCCGCGAGUUCUCAGCUCCCACUACGGACAACAUCCGCACUGGACCUGCUGCAGAGAUCGAUGGCAACUUUGAGCUUAAGCCUGGACUUAUCAACAUGGUGCAAUCCAACCAGUUCUGUGGGAAGGCACACGAAGAUGCUAGUGCUCAUUUACAACACUUCCUGGAGAUUUGCAACACAUUCACCAUAGCAGGAGUUUCCAAACACGCUAUACUACUUCGCCUCUUCCCAUUCUCACUGUUAGGAAGAGCGAAGCAGUGGUUCUACGCUACAAAGGAGAAGAAUACUACGUGGGCACUCUGCUCAACAAACUUCCUGGCAAAGUUCUUUCCCAUGGGCAAGACCAAUGCUCUCCGUGGGAAGAUUACAAGUUUUCAGCAACAAAAUGAUGAAUCUGUUCCAGAAGCAUGGGAGCGCUUUCAAGACUACAUCCUAGAAUGUCCCCAUCAUGGAAUGGAGAGUUGGCUAUUGAUGCAGACAUUCUAUCAUGGGCUCAGCAACAGUGCCCGAGAGACCAUGGAUGCUGCAGCUGGAGGAGCAUUCUUAUCACUUACUAUACCACAAGCCACAGCUCUUGUGGAGAAGAUGGCGUCCAAUCAAAGCUGGAAUGAAGAGAGGACCCAGACACGCAAGAGAGGUGGAGGUAUGCAUCAGCUGAAGGAGGUAGACAUGCUGUCUGCAAAGCUAGACCUGCUCAUGAAGAAGCUCGAUGAUAAAGCUGGAGACAAGAAAGAAGUUAUGCACAUCUACGACUCUCACAUGACUUGUGAGGAGUGUGGAGACACUGGACACUCAGGCAACCACUGCCCUGAGAUACUUGAGGAUGUGAACUACAUCAACAAUAACAACUACUACAACCGUCCUCAACAAAAUCAAGGUUGGAAUCAACAGAGGCCUAACUACUCAGGUAAUUAUCAAGGUAACAAUUCUUACAACAAUAAUAAUAAUUUUUCACCUUUGAGAGAGUUAGUGUCUAAUCAAGGAAAGCUAAUGGAUAACCUAUCUAAGAAAUUGGCAUCUAAUGAUAAAAUGCUAGAAAAUAUAAAUAAUAGAAUGGAUAAUUUUUCUACUGCCAUCAAGAAUCAAAUUAGCUUUAAUAAAAUGAUUGAAUCUCAGUUAAAUCAGAUAGCUGCUGCUGUUCCUACUACUAACCCCGGUAUACCAUCACCACCGGAAGGAUUAGAAUCUGCAAAUCUUGUAGACGUGUUUGAUGCAGGUAAUUGGAGUAACCCCGUCAAUGAAUUUUCUACUGACCGUCUGCCGGUCAAGAGAGGCGAUCCAGGACGCCCCGUCAUCCCGAUCUCCAUCGGCAUGGUGGACUUCCCAGAAGCACUCUGCGACUUUGGCUCCAGUGUCAACAUUAUACCCAGGGUACUCUAUGAGAAAUUCUUUACAUAUCCUUUAUUAGAGACAACCAUGUGUUUGCAGUUUGCAGAUCAGACGAUAACUUUUCCAAAAGGAAUAGUGAGGAACCUUUGUGUCCGAGUUGGUACCUUGUAUGCACCAGCACACUUCGUAGUGGUAGAGACCGGAAAUGAUGAGAGAGCACCUAUCAUCCUAGGGAGGCCAUUUUUGAACACCACGGGAGCUAUCAUCUACGCCAGUGCUGCUAAGAUCAGUUUCUACGUCAAAGGGAAGAAGGAAACAUUUUUCUUCAAAAACAAGACUACACAAAUUCCAAAUCAAUCCAGACGUCAAUCAAGGAAGAGGACCAACAGGAGGAACAGGAACAAGCAAGUGUGGACCGAGUCAGCUCAGAUGGUCACUGUAGUCCAUGGAGGCCAAGAUCACCAACUUAAGUCACCGUGCUUGACCAAGAAGGACGACCCAGGAAUGCCAAGCAUUUACUGCUCCAUAAAUGGAUACAACUUCUACAAGACAAUUUGUGACACCGGAUCGGGCGUCAAUAUAAUGGCCGCAGUCACCUAUCGGCUUUUGUUCGGGACCAUGCCACUAAGACCAACAUACAUUCAGCUCCAGAUGGCAGAUCAGACAUUUCGAGAAGUUCAAGGAAUAGUAUCUGAUGUCCCAGUCAAAAUAGACGAUCAUUUUGUCUACACAGACUUUCAAGUUGUUGACAUGGGAGAAGACGAGUAUGAUCCACCCAUCAUCCUUGGAAGACCGUUCCUCAGCACCGUUAAAGCCAUUAUCUACAUUGGAACCGGAGAAGUCCAUAUGCACUUCCCCUCAGAGAAGGUACGCUGUUAUUUUACUGACCCUAACUAUACCAUUGAAGAAUCUAAGCAGGUAAGAAAACGAUGCAACCGCAACCAGAGGAGGCAGAUCAUUAAGGACGGAUGGGCAGACUAUGAAGGAGAAGUUGUAAGGUCAGAAGACGUAGAGUUUAAACAGAAUUAUCCAGAGGAGAUUGAAGCACCGAGUCAGGUGUGGAAAAUGAAGAUAACUAUACAAGAAGAGGAGGCGCUGCCGGAAGUACCGACUACGCCACCCAACGAACCUCAGGACGAUUAAGAAAUUGGAGAGUCCCGUUCGGAGGACUUAAAAACACCGAACGCCUUGCCAAGAGGUAAACUUGGUAGUUACCCUUUCCCUUUCAGUUAUUUUAAAUAGUUUACUUAGUUAAACAUGCUCAUACUGUCUUAAAAAGAAAAUAAAAAUGUGAAAAAUAGUAAGCCCCAUGUGAAUAGACGAGUGGCAUAAAACCCAUACGUACAUUCACUGUGGUGGCAUAAAAAUAAAAUAAAUAUUUUUUCUGCUUUAUAAAAUAAAAAUAUAAAAACAGGAAGUAAUAAUUAUUAAGGAGUCUCAAGAUGAUAAAGGCUAGAUAUUUAUGCUAACACUUAAUCAGUUCCACAAGCUUUGUUGUCUAUUUGAGCUCCACAGAAUUUAAGAAUCAAGAAGACUAGCAGACGGAGGACAUUCUAAUCGCUGUCAGAAUGCUGCUUUCAAAUGCACCUCUGCCACCUCCUAGCUACAUCAAGAGAAAUUACGUCAAAAUUCAGCUUGGGGGAGAGCACCCCCAUUUAUCUCGAUAAGUAUUUCUAUCUAUCUAUCUUUAUAUUUAUAUUAUUUUAGAAUAUUAAUACACAUAAACUAUGGGAAAACCAAAUAAAGAUUUUAUGUUUAUAUAUAUAUUACUUAGUGUGUUUAAUUAAUAAAUAAAGUGGCUAUGCUAAUCUGUAUCUAAUAAAACUUAAGCAUGGAUAUGAUGAAUAGUUGCUCUGCCUAAUUUGCACAUUUUAAGUUCUCUCUCAAGUUUAGACAUAACUGUUAUAAUUUAAAGCUUGCCCUAGACCUAAACUUGUGGGAUGAAAACUUGAUCUGAAGUCUAAGUUGUUAACGGAUACGAUAUAGGAAGGUUGAGCUGCUGUUUAUCUCUUCCUAGAGAUGCUAGAAUUCUGGAGAAUUUAUCUUUGAAAAUCUUUAAAAUGUUGCAUGAUGAGUUCCUGUAUGAUGAGAGCUUAAAUUCCUACCACAGCCAUAUAUACAUGCUUGCUAGACUUUGAGCCACACAUUUACUAUUUACUGCUUAUGAGCAUUGAGUAUGGUCAAGCUGUGUAGACCCUUAGGAGCUUGUCAUGUGGUUAAAUCAAGAUUUCACUUGCACGUUCACUCAUAUAUGCUACUUCUACUCCGGAAGUACCAUCCACAUACAUCCACUCAUUUCCAUCUCCAGAACCACCUAAAAAUAUUCUACUCCUAAUCCGGGAGAGAAUAACCAAAAAUAUUUCUGUUUUCCCCUUGUGAAAUAAAUGCUCAAGUUAUCUUGUUACUACCACUUGCUAUAUUAUCUCAAGAGAUGAAUGCUCUAAAAAAAGAGAGAGAGAAGAAUAAUACGAGGAAAUAAAAAGGUGCAAGUGCUCGGAACCUCGAAAGAAAAGAAAAAGUGAGACGAGAGGUAAAAAUGGACAAGUGUCCGACAGUAGAAUUAGGGGUGCAAGAUACCCACCUGAAAGAAAAGAAAAAGAAGAGCAUCUCAUUCUCCUCAUAAAGUUUCAAAAGCAAGGAAGGUAUGUAUCCCGUC